rnacentral:rRNA from 1 species
GAUGAACGCUGGCGGCGUGCUUAACACAUGCAAGUCGAACGAUGAAGCUCAGCUUGCUGGGUGGAUUAGUGGCGAACGGGUGAGUAACACGUGAGUAACCUGCCCUUAACUCUGGGAUAAGCCUGGGAAACUAGGUCUAAUACCGGAUAGGAGCGUCUACCGCAUGGUGGGUGUUGGAAAGAUUUAUCGGUUUUGGAUGGACUCGCGGCCUAUCAGCUUGUUGGUGAGGUAAUGGCUCACCAAGGCGACGACGGGUAGCCGGCCUGAGAGGGUGACCGGCCACACUGGGACUGAGACACGGCCCAGACUCCUACGGGAGGCAGCAGUGGGGAAUAUUGCACAAUGGGCGAAAGCCUGAUGCAGCGACGCCGCGUGAGGGAUGACGGCCUUCGGGUUGUAAACCUCUUUCAGUAGGGAAGAAGCGAAAGUGACGGUACCUGCAGAAGAAGCACCGGCUAACUACGUG